rnacentral:misc_RNA from 1 species
UACGGAGGGUGCAAGCGUUAAUCGGAAUUACUGGGCGUAAAGGGCGCGCAGGCGGGUGGGUAAGUGGGGUGUGAAAUCCCUCGGCUCAACCGAGGAACUGCGCCCCAUACUGCCAGACUUGAGGGAGACAGAGGUGAGCGGAACUGAUGGUGGAGCGGUGAAAUGCGUUGAUAUCAUCAGGAACACCGGUGGCGAAAGCGGCUCACUGGGUCUCUUCUGACGCUGAGGUACGAAAGCUAGGGGAGCGAACGGG